GCUCUGAGCUCUAAUGCUCUAAAGACUUUGAGACCAUCUGUUUGAAAAAAUGCCUCUUUUACCUUGCUGGGCAUGUCUGAUGGAAGCCAUCACAGCAGAACAAGUUCUGACUGUGGUCCUCAAAGGAAGGAAAUAUCAUCACAACAUCUGUUUCCAGAAAUCUCAAAAUCAGCCAAAGGUAAGGUUUGUGGGUGUAUUUUUGUGCCCACUGCUUAUCUCUAAAUACAGUAGUGA
rnacentral:lncRNA from 1 species